rnacentral:rRNA from 1 species
GUAGGGCGCAAGCGUUGUCCGGAAUUAUUGGGCGUAAAGAGCUCGUAGGCGGUCUGUCGCGUCGGAUGUGAAAACCCAGGGCUCAACCCUGGGCCUGCAUUCGAUACGGGCAGACUAGAGUACGGCAGGGGAGACUGGAAUUCCUGGUGUAGCGGUGAAAUGCGCAGAUAUCAGGAGGAACACCGGUGGCGAAGGCGGGUCUCUGGGCCGAAACUGACGCUGAGGAGCGAAAGCGUGGGGAGCGAACAGG